rnacentral:rRNA from 1 species
AUUGAACGCUGGCGGCAUGCCUUACACAUGCAAGUCGAACGGCAGCACGGGUGCUUGCACCUGGUGUCGAGUGGCGAACGGGUGAGUAAUACAUCGGUACAUUUCCUGUAGUUGUGGAUAGCCCGGCGAAAGCCGGAUUAAUUCCCCAUACGAUCUACGGGCUACAGCGGGGGACCUUCAGACUUCCGGCUGUAGGGUUUGCCGAGGGCGGAUAUGCUCGUGGUGGGGGUAAAGGCCUACCAAGGCGAGGAGCAGUAGCUGGUCUGAGAGGAGGACAAGCGACACGGGGGCUGGGACAGGGCCAAGAGUCCUACGAGAGGGAGCAGUGGGGAAUGUUGGACAAUGGGGGAAAGCCUGAUACAGCAAUGGGGAGUGUGUGAAGGAGGCCUUCGGGUUGUAAAGCAGUUUUGUCCGGAAAGAAAUGCUUGGCCCUAAUACGGUGGGGGGAUGACGGUACCGGAAGAAGAAGCACCGGCUAACUACGUG